rnacentral:rRNA from 1 species
UACGUAGGGUGCAAGCGUUGUCCGGAAUUAUUGGGCGUAAAGAGCUCGUAGGCGGCUUGUCACGUCGACUGUGAAAACCCGGGGCUCAACUCCGGGCCUGCAGUCGAUACGGGCUGGCUUGAGUGCGGUAGGGGAGACUGGAAUUCCUGGUGUAGCGGUGAAAUGCGCAGAUAUCAGGAGGAACACCAGUGGCGAAGGCGGCGACCUGGGCCAAUAUUGACGCUGAGGUGCGAAAGCGUGGGGAGCAAACAGG